GGAGAGGAACAAAUCAGUUCAGUACCGCUCAUGAGCUUUAUGGACCCUUGACUAUGGGGAACAGAAACUGAUUUAUUAUGCUUACCCCAUUGCCUAAACAUAUUCCUGUUAGUUCUCCAUGUGUUUGGUGUUGAUACAGAAGAAGUGAAGACAAUAUCAGUGAUGAAGGAAGAUUCGGUCACUCUACAAACUGAUGUUACUGAAGUACAGAAAUAUUUGUUCAUACAGUGGAUGUUUGGAAACACUCGAAUAGCUGAAGUUACACAAACCAGCUCAACAUAUGAUGGUCCUGAUGGGAAAUUCAGAGGCAGACAGCUGGAUCAGACUGGAUCUCUGAACAUCACAAACCCCAGAACCACAGACUCUGGACUUUAUUAACUAAACAUUUUGAGCCAAGAGACCAGCUAGCUACACGAGUUUCAAUCUUACAGUCUAUGAUGUGGCACAUGAAAUGAAGUCAGUGUCAGUGAUGAAGGGAGAUUCUGUCACUCUACACACUGAUGUUACUGAAACAGAAAUAUUUGUUGGUACGGUGGAUGUUUGAAAGCACUCGAAUAGCUGAAGUCAACAGACUCAUGCAGACUAGCUCUAAAUAUGAUGGGAGAUUCAAAGACAGAUUGCAGCUGGAUCAAACCGGAUCUCUAAUCAUCACAAGCACCAGAACCACAGACUCUGGACUUUAUCAACUAACAAUUGUCAGCAGAGAGACCAGCUUCAUGAAUUAUAAUGUUACUGUCUAUGAAAGAUCAUCAAGCUCAAAUUGUGUGUCGUCCAGCUGUGCAGCUGUGCAGUGAGCCGUUCAGACUGAAGAUACCAGCAUUGCUGAACUCUAUCAGCCGAGUUCAGAUAUACAGCAUGACCUGUUUGUUUUCUUCGAUGAUUUAACAGGAACAGAGAAUGCGCAGCAGAUAUGUGACAGAGAAGUGAAGCGUGUUUUCUGGUGUUUGGGUGAGUGGGUGGUGGUGGUGGGGGGGGGGGGAUGUUGGUUAACCCCAUGCUUUUCUAGAGAUAAUUAUCACUCAAGGCAAAAAAACAAAACAAAAACAUAAUGGAGAAUCACAUAAUCAGACAGAUUCCUCAGGUAGUCCUAAAAAUGAUCUAUAAUCAUUUAUGUUAGCCAUGCAAUCCUAGCUAAUGUUAUUUAGCUAAGCAAGGAAAGUGUGCAUGCAAAUAUGCACAAAGUUUAUGGAUGCUGUAAGUCUUUUGAAAUGCAUGCAAUAUGUCUAUUUGAAAGAGAAAUAAAUGCACAAUUCUGUUUCA
ensembl:lncRNA